GACGAACGCUGGCGGCGUGCUUAACACAUGCAAGUCGAGCGGUAAGGCCCUUUCGGGGGUACACGAGCGGCGAACGGGUGAGUAACACGUGGGUGACCUGCCCUCAGCUCUGGGAUAAGCCUGGGAAACCGGGUCUAAUACCGGAUAUGACUCCAUGACGCAUGUUGUGGGGUGGAAAGCCUUGUGCGGCUGAGGAUGGGCCCGCGGCCUAUCAGCUUGUUGGUGGGGUGAUGGCCUACCAAGGCGACGACGGGUAGCCGGCCUGAGAGGGCGACCGGCCACACUGGGACUGAGACACGGCCCAGACUCCUACGGGAGGCAGCAGUGGGGAAUCUUGCGCAAUGGGCGAAAGCC
rnacentral:rRNA from 1 species